GUAUUCACUGCAUUAAUUAGCUGCAAUAAACAGGGGUUCUUGUUAGUAACUAUUGCUCUGUAGUUUGAUAGCUUUCAUAUAUGGAAUACAGGUGGUUUAUUUGUAACAGGAAAGAGCCAAAUUAUACUGGUUUAAGUGACAGAGGCCUUAAAUUACAUCCUGCAGCAAUACUGGGCAAUUCAGUUAAUCGUCAAUAAGGAAAAAUGCUGUUAUUUCUUCAGCUGUGAUCUUGAGGUCUAUGAUCAGAUACCUGAUAUGGAUCAGUAUUGAGGUCAAAAUACUCCAGAAAUCCAGUAGCAAAUUCACAGAACAGGAAGUUGUGGGUCUCAUUGAUUGUCCUCAAACACCAGUAGGUGUUGUUGUUGGCACUGGUACAGGCACAGAAAGGGCCCACUGCAAAUGGAACAGUUAGAAAAGCAUCAGCUACAGUCUUUGGCACUGCUAAUUAUUUCUGUUUAUAGCAUUCCUUUAUUCACAGAGGGUAACUCUCACUCCUGAGCUCUAAAGCAGAGAAUGCCUUCCAGCAUCAGCCUCUUGCUCUGUGCACACCUAACCCACACCACACGGCUCAUUAGAGCAACAUCUUGUCCAGUUGGGAAACACUCCAGAUGGUGAGAUACCACACCCACACUGUGCACUGUCUGUUGGUUACUUGCAGUUGUUUUUACCUCCCUUGCCUUUUGUGCAGCACUGGAACAGAUUCUUUCCUUUGGGGCUACACAGGCACUGAAACCCCAAACUGGGAACCCAACAGCCCGGCCCGGUCUGGCCAGAACCCACCUCCCUGUUCCCGAGUUUCCAGUAUCCUUACAUGUCCAGAGGGGAGCAGUUUGCCAGUGCUGGUUGUCGUGGGUGAAGCAGGUGAGCCCGGGCAUGCUGCACGUGUCGUUGUUUUUGAUCCUCUUCAGCAGCUUGCGCAGCUUCUUCUUCCUCCUCUGCUCCCGCAGCAGCCACAGCCUGUCCUUCUCCUGGAGGGCUUUCCUGCACACACCAAACAUCAGGGUCAUGCAAACUCUGUUACACUUGAAUGCACCUAAAAAACCCGACACAGCUCGUAAAAUAAGCUGCUCUCAGGGAAAGAAUCAACAUCUUUUUAAUUAAAUGGCUUCUCUUCCAGAUGGAGAUGACUCUGCAAUUCAACAGCACUGGAAAAUGAAAAUGCAGCCAAAGGGGCUUACAGGGCUUGCCUGAGGAUAAAUGAAGCACUAGUACUUCUGCUUAGUUUGUGUGGACCAAAUAUUAUAAUGACUUGGCACAUCCUCUUUCAAAGGAACAGCCCUUCACUUACUUGAAAGGAUGAAGACUGGAUCCCUUGUGCCUCAGCUUGGUUUUGUGUUUUGAAUGAUAACUGGAAAAUAAAAACAGCAUGGCUGGUGAA